rnacentral:rRNA from 1 species
GACGAACGCUGGCGGCGUGCCUAAUACAUGCAAGUCGAGCGAAUCGAUGGGAGCUUGCUCCCUGAGAUUAGCGGCGGACGGGUGAGUAACACGUGGGUAACCUGCCUGUAAGACUGGGAUAACUUCGGGAAACCGGAGCUAAUACCGGAUAAUUUCUUUUCUCGCAUGAGGAGAGAUGGAAAGAUGGUUCUGCUAUCACUUACAGAUGGACCCGCGGCGCAUUAGCUAGUUGGUGAGGUAACGGCUCACCAAGGCGACGAUGCGUAGCCGACCUGAGAGGGUGAUCGGCCACACUGGGACUGAGACACGGCCCAGACUCCUCCGGGAGGCAGCAGUAGGGAAUCUUCCGCAAUGGACGAAAGUCUGACGGAGCAACGCCGCGUGAGCGAAGAAGGCCUUCGGGUCGUAAAGCUCUGUUGCUAGGGAAGAACAAGUACGAGAGUAACUGCUCGUACCUUGACGGUACCUAACCAGAAAGCCACGGCUAACUACGUGCCAGCAGCCGCGGUAACAC